UACAGAGGGGGCAAGCGUUGUUCGGAAUUACUGGGCGUAAAGGGCGCGUAGGCGGCCUGCUAAGUCGAACGUGAAAUCCCCGAGCUCAACUCGGGAACUGCGUCCGAUACUGGUUGGCUUGAAUCCGGGAGAGGGAUGCGGAAUUCCAGGUGUAGCGGUGAAAUGCGUAGAUAUCAGGAGGAACACCGAUGGCGAAGGCAGCUGCCUGGCCUGACACUGACGCUGAGGUGCGAAAGCGUGGGGAGCGAACAGG
rnacentral:rRNA from 1 species